rnacentral:rRNA from 1 species
GGAUUAGAUACCCUGGUAGUCCACACCGUAAACGCUGUCUACUAGCUGUUUGUGUAUUAUAUACGUGAGUAGCGAAGCUAACGCGCUAAGUAGACCGCCUGGGGAGUACGGCCGCAAGGUUAAAACUCAAAUGAAUUGACGGGGGCCCGCACAAGCGGUGGAGCAUGUGGUUUAAUUCGAUGCAACGCGAAGAACCUUACCUACACUUGACAUGCCAAGAAUUUACCAGAGAUGGUUUAGUGCCUUCGGGAACUUGGACACAGGUGCUGCAUGGCUGUCGUCAGCUCGUGCCG